rnacentral:lncRNA from 1 species
AAAGGGACAGAAAAGAAGUUCCCCUCAAAAAACAAAGGCAUACAUUUCAUAUUAGAAUUUUUUGUUUGGUCAAUCUUUCAAGUGCUUAACUUGUUCCCAAAGCGACACUCGAGUUCAAUCUGUUUACGGUAUAAGACCUUAGGAUCUUUAGAAAAGCUGAUUCGGAUUGCUGAUUGGUCCAGUGCUGUGGGAGAUUCCAUAUUUGAGAAACUUCUUAAAUGGUUAUAGUAAUCUAACCACCAGGCAAAAGAAAGGUGUUG